rnacentral:rRNA from 1 species
AUUGAACGCUGGCGGCAUGCCUUACACAUGCAAGUCGAACGGCAGCACGGGAGCAAUCCUGGUGGCGAGUGGCGAACGGGUGAGUAAUGUAUCGGAACGUACCUUUCAGUGGGGGAUAACGUAGCGAAAGUUACGCUAAUACCGCAUAUUCUGUGAGCAGGAAAGCAGGGGAUCGCAAGACCUUGCGCUGAUUGAGCGGCCGAUAUCAGAUUAGCUAGUUGGUGAGGUAAAGGCUCACCAAGGCGACAAUCUGUAGCGGGUCUGAGAGGAUGAUCCGCCACACUGGAACUGAGACACGGUCCAGACUCCUACGGGAGGCAGCAGUGGGGAAUUUUGGACAAUGGGCGCAAGCCUGAUCCAGCCAUGCCGCGUGAGUGAAGAAGGCC